AUUGAACGCUGGCGGCAGGCCUAACACAUGCAAGUCGAACGAGUGGCGGACGGGUGAGUAAUGUCUGGGAAACUGCCUGAUGGAGGGGGAUAACUACUGGAAACGGUAGCUAAUACCGCAUACCAUCAGAUGUGCCCAGAUGGGAUUAGCUUGUUGGUGGGGUACCGGCUCACCAAGGCGACGAUCCCUAGCUGGUCUGAGAGGAUGACGGGCCACCCUGGAACUGGGAACGGGUCCAGACUCCAACGGGAGGCGGCAGGGGGAAAGAUUGCACAAUGGGCGCAAGCGUGAUGAGGCUAGGCCGGGGGUAUGAAAAGGGCCUUGGGGUUGUAAAGUACUUUCAGCGGGGAGGCUUUACCCGCAGUAGAAGCACCGGCUAACUCCGGGCCAGCAGCCGCGGUAAUAC
rnacentral:rRNA from 1 species